GAAACAUGUCCUGUAAAAUAACGUCGAAUUUAAUCUUUUGUCGAAUAUAAAGUACCAUUUACUCCCCUAAUCAACAAUCCUCACACAAAUUUACUCACAUAAGCACAAAUGAGUGUCUGCUUCACCCUUUGUCUCCUAAGCAGGCCACAAAUCCACACAUUUUUACUCAAUUCCAUGUAAACUAUUAAUGUUGUUUCAAUCCAAAAUUGAAGUCCAUAGGGUUCCUGUAAUAAUGACUUCUAGACUCGAUUUCAACAGAAAAACAUAUGAAACAGUCAAAAUUUUUGAAGUCUACAUGAUAAAAAAAAAUCAUUCAUCCACAUCUGCUGCAGACAUUACUAUUGUUCUACUGUUGGAAAAGCCCUGAAAUGCUCUCUUCGCAGAAGUCUUGGAAGUUGGCACCUGUACUCUAUCAAAUCAAGGAGCAUUAGAUGAGUGAUCAUCAUAAUCUUCUGUAUCAGAAUCUGAACUAUCAACCAUCUUAUCAAGUGAAUCCAAAUCACCAGCUUCAGAAAGAGUGUGCAGGCGAAGUUUGUCAGCAUCCUCAUCUGUAACCCCAAAUAUCUCCUUGACCACUAAGGAGCUAUCCAUCGAACAAAACUCCGGCAGCUCAGAUAAAUAAUACACCUUUCCAAAAAGGGCUUGCACAGCAAGUUUUCUCUUAAAUCCUCUUUCGGUAUACCCUGUCAUAUCCAUGACAACUGGGCCUUUUUCCUUCACAAUCCGUCUUGAGAUGUCAUUCACAAUGUCAGCAACUUGAGAGUCAUCCAAUGUUGACACUCUCCUAAGCUGGAUUAAGUUGGCAACCAGUUCUGCAUUAAAUGGUUUCUCAUUCAAUGCAUACCGGAUGUACUUGCGCAAAAUAUCCUCCAUGCUAAAACCAGUCUGGAUAUGGAUUAGCAGUUUCCAUCAAAACUCAAGUAGUAGUGACACAAAAUACUUCACAAUGGACUAACAAGCAUAGGUGUGCUAAGCCAUUGUAUGCUUCCAAAAAGAGACUACCAAAUAUUGAUACACUUGAAUUUUCCAAUGAUUGAGGAAAAAUGGAAUAACUAGACAAGAAUGGGCUGACAUUGAGCCGUCUGUGACAACACUAUGCAGUUGGAGAGGUUAAAUGAAGUUGUCAGUAAAAGAUGGUUUAAAAAAUGAGCAUGAUUAGAUGAAGUCAAAUGCUCCCUUUUUCUUUUUAUUUUGAUUAUUAAACUUCAAACAAACCAACACAAACUCAAAUGGAUAUCAACUUUCAGUAAAUGCUGACUGCAAUAAAAUUCAAAGAAUUUUCUGUUAAACUUCCUGAUAGUCUGCCAUGAAAUGUUUGCAUCAACAGUUUUCUUAAAUCUUGAAAAGUUCUUUUUGUCCCAGAAGAGAUGAAGUUAUCUUUCAUAUAUUUUGAGAAGACCUUUUAGGCCGCACCAUUCAACUCUCAAUUGGGGCAUCAAGUGUGAGAAAGAAAGAGGACCAGAGUACCAGACUUUUGAAUAUAACCAUCCACUCAUUGUGGUUGAAUAUAUCAUAGCAAACACAAUCAAUUUUGCAACUUAGUUAAGACAUAAAAUGCUCACUAUCUGACUAAAAUUGAAAAUAUCAAGACCAAUGAGUAUCUGCCCAACAGUAUUGUGUUAUACAAUAAUUAAAACUUCCUGAUGGUGCAAUUAAUUCCCCCUUAUUUACAAAUCCAGGCUGAAUAAAAAGAUUGAAAAUGGCACAUUUUAAUUUCUUUGAAUAACAUUUAUGUGAAAAGGUCCGUCAGUUUUAAAGUGAUCAACUUAGUUCAAAGAAUUAUUAAGAUGAAAAAUCAUUCAUCCAUUUAGACCACGUAGUUUGAGAAUUAUUUGAAACAAAAUGAUGCAGAAAUGAACGAUGAACAAAAUAUAUUCAGAAUCUUGCAAUGGAGAAUGUAGAUGAAUUAAAAUUUUCGACAUUUAAAGUAACAUUGGAUUUCAUGUUAAGCAGUCUUGCUGUGGAAUGUCUCACCUUAUUCUCCAGUACCUUCAGGGCUGACUGUUGUAAUGCAUCUCCACCUUUUUGAAAUAAUUCAUCUAUAGAUUUGCAUAGCAUAGCAUUUUUAUUGACCUGAAGAUAUUAACUCCAAUUAGGCAUAAAAGCGACGCAUCACAUGGAAAAUUCAUAACUUCCAAGGAUAACUAUGCAUCUAAUUCAUUAAAAAUAAAUGCAUAUCAAGUGACUAUGAAUUAACCACAUAUCCCAUUUUCUCUCCUUUUUCCAUUUGACUGACUGCUUUAACUAAAUUAUGCGAACAAGCCAAAAGAACACCCGGAAAGAGCAUCUAAAAAUGCUUUCAAUAACCAAAAUUAAGCACACAUAUGACCAAUGAAUCAAAACACGGAUUUUGAAUAAUGAAUCUCUACAACUGACCAGUCUCCUGCGCUUCUCUUUGGGAGAAGAAAACUUCUUUAGAGUCUUAACAAAAGCAAUGACAAAGGUUAUACCAGCAUAGGCCAAAGGGAGGGCAAGAAUCCAAGGCAAGGAACUCUGGCCAACUCUGGGCCCAGGAAUGGCUUGAGUGACAGAGCCCGUGAACUCCACCAGGUCCAAGGCUUUCUCUUGAAUCCAUGGCAACUCCUCCACCUCUAUCUCUUCCUCUUCUUCGACGGCUUUCUUAUCUUUAUCUUUACUAGGGUUUUUCGAGGUUGAUUUCUGGCUGCUGCUGUCGUUUGAGAUAGCAUUGGAACUGCUCUUAGCUGCGGCAGCAAAAAGAAUUCCUACCGCUCUCUGUCUAAGCAAAGAAGGAGAAUUUGAGAAUAAUAAGGGAGAAAAGGGCGUGGGGGUAGAGGGAAAUGAAAGUUUCGGAAUUUUGGGUCGAAGAAGUAGUUGAGAUGAAGAAGAGGAAGCAGCCGCAGCAAGUAAAGCCAUUGACAGAGAGUGGAUGCGCCUUUGGGUUCCGUCUUAAGUAAAUCAGCUGCAGAGUGCUGACUGCUGCUGAGGUUUAUGGCUUUGCGGGUUUUCCCACAGUUUCUUCUUUUGCCUUUCUUUAAUUUCACACUUUUUU
rnacentral:misc_RNA from 1 species